rnacentral:rRNA from 1 species
UACGUAGGGUGCAAGCGUUAAUCGGAAUUACUGGGCGUAAAGCGUGCGCAGGCGGUUUUGUAAGUCUGUCGUGAAAGCCCCGGGCUUAACCUGGGAAUUGCGAUGGAGACUGCAAGGCUUGAAUCUGGCAGAGGGGGGUAGAAUUCCACGUGUAGCAGUGAAAUGCGUAGAGAUGUGGAGGAACACCGAUGGCGAAGGCAGCCCCCUGGGUCAAGAUUUACGCUCAUGCACGAAAGCGUGGGGAGCAAACAGG